rnacentral:rRNA from 1 species
UACGUAGGAGGCAAGCGUUGUCCGGAAUUACUGGGUGUAAAGCGCGUGUAGGCGGCAGGCCAAGUCUGUGGUGAAAUCGCUCGGCUCAACUUGGAGGGGUCCAUGGAAACUGGUCAGCUGGAGGACGGUAGAGGUGAGUGGAAUUCCCGGUGUAGUGGUGAAAUGCGUAGAGAUCGGGAGGAACACCCGUGGCGAAGGCGGCUCACUGGGCCGGUCCUGACGCUGAGACGCGAAGGCGUGGGGAGCGAACGGG